rnacentral:pre_miRNA from 1 species
UUUAUACUCCCUCCGUUUCAAAUUACUCGUCGCAGAAAUGAAUGUAUCUAGAACUAAAAUACAUCUAGAUACAUCCAUACUUGCGACAAGUAAUUCGAAACGGAGGGAGUAGUAC